GGCACGAGUGGGGUCUCAAAUUGGAGAAACCGGCCCCGCUUCCAGCACAUUACCCACCAGCUGGCUGCUCGGGAUCCCGAGCUGCACGGACGCCCGAGGGUCACGCCAGCGGGAAGGGGAACAGGAGCGGGAAGGCUUCUCCGCCGGGCAGGGACAGCCCGGCAUGGCCCGGCACGGCUGCACCGGCACCCGCGGGGGGGGCCGCCCGCUCUGCCCCGGCGCUCACCUGUAGGCGCUGAGGAGCGCCUUGUUGACCAGCACGUUCAACUGAGAGGAAAAGAGGCUUUCCCUUCUCAUCUGAAUUUCCUUACUUCCAACAAGAGGAAGAAGUUAAAGCAAGCAGGCAGAGACUGCUCCUCCUAUCUACUGUCGCAGGGGUGCCACAGCUAAGUUUGCCAGCUCGAUGAGCGCCAGUGCGCCAUGCAUGCGCUCACGCUGCUCCUGGAGGCGACGGUGGCGGGCAGCUGAAUGAGCGCUGUUUUUCUCUUCAUCAUCCUCUUCAUCAGACUGAAGAUACUCCAUUGGGUCCUGCUGUUCCUGAUCUGUUUUCUGGAUUGCUUUGGUCUUCAAAGCAGGAGCACGCUGCUCUCUAGUCUCCCAGUACCUAUAACAUCAAACACGAGGAAUACUUGUAAAAUACACACAGCUGACUCGCACACCAACAAUUCAAAAUGGGCAAAAACCUCCCAAGAACUAGCUUGCAUCCAGCUGGGCAUUGCACUUGGCUUUACUUUUCAGCCCUUAUAUGGUAGUAUUUAAGCUGUCAGAGACCUUCUUUAUUCAGUAUUUUAAGUGUAAAAUGCCCAAGUGAACACCUGUGACAGAUUUCUUGUCUCCAUGGUGUUCUCAGCAGGCAUUUCGUCCUAGGCAUACAGUACCUCUCACACAAAUGCAAAUUCAGCAAAACUGUAGCACUAGAUAUUAAAGUAUUAGCAGGUGUUGAUCAAGCGAAAAAAGUAUUUAAGCAGAGAGCAAACACAAAACAAACCAGUAAGGAAAAAACUCUCAUCAGGAACUUUGUCUUGACCAGGAGUUCAUAAUUCUUCAAGGAGAGGCACGGCUGUGCUGAUGUGUACUGGAAGAACAUAGUUUUGCUUUCUUGGGGUGUAACUCUCCCAAAGAGUAAAUGCUGUGUCAGACCACUCUUUUAAGUAUUUUGAGAAAGAUGACAACAUGAGGGAACUUACUUUGCUAGCCACUCGGCCACAGCUUUAUUGUCAGCCGUCUCCUUCUUACUCAGCCUGUCCGUGAGCUCUUCCCUCUUCAGUCGGGCAUAGGGAUGUUUGGGACAAUGACGGUUUGCAUGUGUGAACCUGCUUAAACAGCCUUAAAAAACGCAGAGUGACAAUGAAGAAUGUGUUACAGAAAGCAGCCAACCAAAGAAAGUGUAACAUCUGUGGGAUGGAAAUGCCAUUGAAUCCACCCUUCCCCAUUCACAGAACCCUAGGUUUUGUUGAAAACCAAAGGUUCAUAACAUGCCCCAUUAUUUUAUACAUUAGUAUCCACUGACAGAGAAUGUAUGCAAUCCUUAGAUACACACUUGCAGAAUUUGGCAGAUUCUGAAAGGCUCUUCCCUUCCCUAAAAGUUCCACCAAAUUUUAACUCCAAAGCUUUUGCAAUGUGAACAGGCAUACAUUUCCAAUAUUAGUCUGACCCCAGAAAGCUGCAAAUCAUUCUCUGAUAACUUACCAUUCUCUGAGCAGACAAAAGGCUUCUCUCCUGUGUGGAGACGCUGGUGAGUUUUGAGCUGCCCACUCUGUACAAAGGCUUUCCCACAGUCUGGGUAGUCACAUAAAUAAGGCCUUUCACCUAAAAGUAGUAACAGAAGAGAUUUGUGAAAGAUGACUGGAAGUGUCAUAGUACCCAGUGGCAGUCCCUGGCUUCAACCUGGUACAAGCAAGCUCUCCUUUCACCCACUGAGAAACUUGCACCUACUUAAAAAAUCCUUGAAUACUUAGAAGUGCAUGCUCUGUGUUACUGAACAAUAUACUUAUUUCCAAAGAGAAAAAAACUUGUACUUUUCCUUGUCAUAUUUUCUGAUUUAAGACUCAUAGAUAGCACUCUGUAAGUUUUGUGAAACUGUGCAGAUGUAGAGCAAGAAAUAUGGGCAAGUAAUUGGACAAGUAAUGUAAUUCAGGUUGUAACCAGAAAAAUUUUAUCCUUACCAUAGCCUGAACUAGGGUAAAAUACCUGAGGUCUACAUUACUACAAUGUUAUGGCAAUACCUCAUUAGGAGAAAUAUGUCUUAAAAAAGUUAUAAUGAUAGAGGCUACAUGAGAAACUUAUUCCAGAUUUAAGUUUUCUCAAAUCAGUCAUCAAGGAAGGGUUCUCCAUGCACAAUGCAACCAGAAGAACAAAGGUAGGAGGUGUCUCCUUCCUCAAGCAGAUCUGACUGCACACACUACACAAAGGUAUGCCAUGCCACUGCCCUCAGGAAGGCAACAAAAUGAGGGUGAGUCUGGCUCACUAAUUCAGAGGAAUGAUGGGGAAAGCUCUACUCAGUUAAAUAGUUCUUACAAGUUCAACAUGUUGUAGGACCGAGUGAAAUAACAUAUUUUGACCAAAAAAUGAGAAAUGCUGUUGUUUAAUAUCAUUACCUAGAUUAGUCAUAGUGACCUUGAGUCAGAAGGAGAUGGUGAGCCAAGGCUUUUGUGAGAUUUUGUUUGGUUGGUUUGGGGGGAGUGCUGGUGAUUGUGUCUCUAUUGUGAGCUACAUUUGUUCAUAUGUUAUGGUAAACACAGUGUUCUGUUGAAGAAAUAAAAUAUAUUUGCUUGGUUUAAAAAAAA